rnacentral:rRNA from 1 species
GCCGAACCCUUUCUUCUUUCUUAACACAUGCAAGUCGUACGGUAAGGCCCUUUCUGGGGUCCACGAGUGGCGAACGGGUGAGUAACACGUGAGUAACCUGCCCACAACUUUGGGAUAACGCUAGGAAACUGGUGCUAAUACUGGAUAUGUGCUCCUGCUGCAUGGUGGGGGUUGGAAAGCUCCGGCGGUUGUGGAUGGACUCGCGGCCUAUCAGCUUGUUGGUGGGGUAGUGGCCUACCAAGGCGGCGACGGGUAGCCGGCCUGAGAGGGUGACCGGCCACAUUGGGACUGAGAUACGGCCCAGACUCCUACGGGAGGCAGCAGUGGGGAAUAUUGCACAAUGGGCGCAAGCCUGAUGCAGCAACGCCGCGUGCGGGAUGACGGCCUUCGGGUUGUAAACCGCUUUCAGCAGGGACGAAGCUUUUUGUGACGGUACCUGCAGAAGAAGCACCGGCUAACUACGUG